CGUCGCCGGUGCCCUAGACUCAGCCCGCGACACCCAUCUCCUUCUCUGAGCCGCCAGCACAGUCGACGCCACACGGAGAAGUGUCGAUUCCUCUCAGCCAUCUCUUUGCCCUAACCAGCGCCGCAGCAAACCGUCGUUGCCUCCCUUGCCCCUAUUGCGCCUUUUGGUCGCCACAGCCGACGCCGACGGACUAGGGCAACGCUGUGCCCUAGAUUUGCAGCGCCGUCGUCCCAUUCUGCUCUAGCCAUCGCCGACACUGCUCUCCUGCAGUGUCCUUCACUCGCCACUGCCCUUGUGAUCUAGCGUUGGUCGGCUAGUCGUGAGUGCCAGCAACCACUUUGUUAUCGGCUUGAGUUUCUGGCAUUUGGGCUUCCAGUGGCAGCUUUGUCCGGUUUUUGGUCAUUUCAGGCAGUAAAGGAAGAGUGAAGAAUUCCAGCAGCCAACAGCCCUUAACGGCAGCCCUCAUUCCAGCAUUUCUUUGUUCCAGCAGCAAUCAACCUAAAUGGGGCAGUAACUCUUCAAUUCCAGCAUCUUCUUGUUCUUGAAUAAAGCUGUGGAACUUGAGGACCUUGACGCGAGACGAGUAUCUCGGAGUCAGAUU